rnacentral:rRNA from 1 species
GACGAACGCUGGCGGCGUGCUUAACACAUGCAAGUCGAGCGGAGCGGCGAACGGGUGAGUAACGCGUGAGUAACUGCCCCCCUCUCUGGGAUAACAGUUGGAAACGGCUGCUAAUACCGGAUAGUGGGGGAUGAGUCGCGUCCUAUCAGCUUGUUGGUGGGGUAGUGGCCUACCAAGGCGACGACGGGUAGCCGGCCUGGGGGGGGGACCGGCCCCAUGAGGCUGCGAGAGGGCGCAGAGGCGUACGUGAGGCAGUGGGGGGGAGUAUUGCACAGUCGGGGCAACCCUGAUGCAGCAGCGCGCGGGCGGGAUGACGGCUUUCGGGUGGUAAACGGCUUUCAGCCAAUACGCGGUAGUGGCAGAAGAAGCACCGGCUAACUACGUGCCAGCAGCCGCGGUAAUUC